UACGAAGGGGGCUAGCGUUGCUCGGAAUUACUGGGCGUAAAGCGCACGUAGGCGGCUUUCUAAGUCAGGGGUGAAAUCCUGGAGCUCAACUCCAGAACUGCCUUUGAUACUGAGGAUCUUGAGUCCGGGAGAGGUGAGUGGAACUGCGAGUGUAGAGGUGAAAUUCGUAGAUAUUCGCAAGAACACCAGUGGCGAAGGCGGCUCACUGGCCCGGUACUGACGCUGAGGCACGAAAGCGUGGGGAGCAAACAGG
rnacentral:rRNA from 1 species